rnacentral:rRNA from 1 species
GAUGAACGCUGGCGGCGUGCCUAAUACAUGCAAGUCGAGCGAACGGACGAGAAGCUUGCUUCUCUGAUGUUAGCGGCGGACGGGUAAGUAACACGUGGAUAACCUACCUAUAAGACUGGGAUAACUUCGGGAAACCGGAGCUAAUACCGGAUAAUAUUUUGAACCGCAUGGUUCAAAAGUGAAAGACGGUCUUGCUGUCACUUAUAGAUGGAUCCGCGCUGCAUUAGCUAGUUGGUAAGGUAACGGCUUACCAAGGCAACGAUGCAUAGCCGACCUGAGAGGGUGAUCGGCCACACUGGAACUGAGACACGGCCCAGACUCCUACGGGAGGCAGCAGUAGGGAAUCUUCCGCAAUGGGCGAAAGCCUGACGGAGCAACGCCGCGUGAGUGAUGAAGGUCUUCGGAUCGUAAAACUCUGUUAUUAGGGAAGAACAUAUGUGUAAGUAACUGUGCACAUCUUGACGGUACCUAAUCAGAAAGCCACGGCUAACUACGUG